ensembl:snoRNA
AUUUAGCCUUUGAGCCCCCAGCGUCCUUUCUCGUGGCGCCGGGGGUUAAGCUGCAGCGCCAUAGCAAUUGCUAGUGCAUAACUGGUAGGUACAGGCCAGGGGG